GCCUGUGUGGCCGAGUGGUUAAGGCGGUAGUUUUAAGUUCUCCUUACUUAAAACACUACUACAGUGAUGUUCGCGAGUUCGAAUCUCGUCGCAGGCA
rnacentral:tRNA from 1 species